GCGGCCGGGUGGGGCGGCGGCCAGGCAUCCCGGCCGCUCGGGAUUGGGCCUCCGAUCUGGCCCCGGCAACCCAGGGGAGGGUCCCCCUGGCGAAAGCGGGACGGGGUGCCCUGGGAGCCUCCGACCCAGCUAGGGUACCGAGCCCGGGCGAGUCUGGAGGCGGGCGAGUCCGCCCAGGCUGCAGAGAUUUGCCGCGGGCGCGCUUGCCGGGGGGCGCGAGCGAGGGCCUCUGCGGGCUCCAGCGACCCCUCCCCCCAGGCUCCCACUCCCCUACCCUCCCACCAAAGGGGGCUUCUCCGCUCCACAUGUCAUCUCCUCCCUCCUCCUGGCCAUCUUUUCGCCUCUCUCUUCUGGCAGGAUCUCCAACGCCUGUAUGGUAGCUUCCGGAGCCAGAUGCCCUCCGGGCCAGCUCCCCCAGUGGGGCUCCGGGGAGCUCUCGCCCCGCCCCCUUCGGCGCGGGGGCCCCAGGGAGGGGCGGAGCAGCCCUUCCUUAGGGAAUGCAAACCUUCCCACUGGGUGCCCGGGCCCUGCCGGGUGGCUGGGCCUCUGCAAACACGCCGCCCUGCGGGGAGCGCGGUGGGAAAAAGCUCCUCCCAGGUCCCGCUCCCCUGCACGCACGGCCCUCACACGCUGCUCUCUUUCCCUGGUUUCCACCCGCGCCAGGUGAUGCGCAGAGCUGAAACCAUGGUCCAUCAGGUGCUCUACCGGGCGCUGGUCUCCACCAAGUGGCUGGCGGAGUCGGUUCGGGCUGGCAAGCUGGGGCCUGGCCUGCGGGUGCUGGACGCGUCCUGGUACUCGCCGGGCACCCGCGAGGCCCGCAAGGAGUACCUAGAGCGCCAUGUGCCCGGCGCCUCCUUCUUUGAUAUGGAGGAGUGCCGGGACGCGGCGUCGCCCUACGAGAUGAUGCUGCCCAGCGAGGCCGACUUCGCCCGCUACGUGGGCCGCCUGGGCAUCAGCAACCAGACCCAUGUGGUGGUUUACGAUGGUGACCACCUGGGCUCCUUCUAUGCGCCGCGGGUCUGGUGGAUGUUCCGUGUGUUCGGCCACCGCACCGUGUCGGUGCUCAACGGCGGCUUCCGGAACUGGCUGAAGGAGGGCCACCCGGUGACCUCUGAGCCCUCACGCCCAGAGCCGGCUAACUUCGAAGCCACACUGGACCGCUCCCUGCUCAAGACCUACGAGCAGGUGCUGGAGAACCUUGAGUCUAAGAGGUUCCAGUUGGUGGAUGCCCGGUCCCAAGGACGGUACCUGGGCACCGAGCCAGAGCCAGAUGCAGUAGGCCCCGAGCCCUCGCUGGCAGAGACGAGGGGGACCCCCGCCUCCUGGGGCUGGCCCAGUUUGGGAAGCCAGAGUCACGGAAACCCCCAGACUUCUCUACUCCCAAGAGGUGCCUUUUAUGCAACCAAGAAAGCAGGGGCGCUGUUGGCAUCGGGGACCAGAGGAAAGAAACAAGACGGCAUUCAGAACUCCACAGACAUUCGCGCUUUGAAAUACACUUCCAUUCAGCCCAGUGCCUGGAUGCCCAAAGAUUUCUAAGUUGGAUUUCUUGGCACGGGAGGCCCUUGAAGCCAACAGAUCCAUUGGCUUCUCCCUGGUAGGGGCGGCAGGCGUCCAGCCUCCGAUGAAAAUUUCCAGACGAAGAGAUAAAAUUCCCACAGGAAAGACUCCCCGGAAUGUAUAAGUGGAGACCUCUAUGCGGUCAAAGGAACCCCUGACUCAUGCCGGACUGGAUCCGGGCCACAUCCGAGGCUCAGUCAACAUGCCGUUCGUGGACUUCUUGACCGAGGACGGCUUCGAGAAGAGCCCAGAGGAGCUGCGUGCUCUGUUCGAGGCCAAGAAGGUGAAUCUGGCCCAGCCCCUCA